rnacentral:rRNA from 1 species
CAGUUCGGAUUGGAGCUGCAACUCGACUCCAUGAAGCUGGAUUCGCUAGUAAUCGCGCAUCAGCCAUGGCGCGGUGAAUACGUUCCCGGGCCUUGUACACACCGCCCGUCAAGCCAUGGGAGUCGGGAGUGCCUGAAGUUCGUGACCGUAUAGGAGCGACCUAGGGCAAGACUGAUGACUGGGGCUAAGUCGUAACAAGGUAAC